GGUGAACGCUGGCGGCGUGCUUAAGACAUGCAAGUCGAACGGGCUCUUCGGAGCCAGUGGCGCACGGGUGAGUAACGCGUAACUGACCUACCCCAAAGUCGCGGAUAACGAUUCGAAAGAAUCGCUAAUACGUGAUGUGCUGUCAGAUCCUGUUCUGCCAGUAAAGAUUUAUUGCUUUGGGAUGGGGUUGCGUUCCAUCAGCUAGUUGGUGGGGUAAAGGCCCACUAAGGCGACGACGGAUCGCCGGCCUGAGAGGGUGGCCGGCCACAGGGGCACUGAGACACGGGUCCCACUCCUACGGGAGGCAGCAGUUAGGAAUCUUCCACAAUGGGCGAAAGCCUGAUGGAGCGACGCCGCGUGAGGGAUGAAGGUCUUCGGAUCGUAAACCUCUGAAUCAGGGACGAAAGACGCGAAAGCGGGAUGACGGUACCUGAGUAAUAGCACCGGCUAACUCCG
rnacentral:rRNA from 1 species